AAGGACACAGAUCUUCUCAGUGGGAUGAAAUGAUUUCAGGGAACACCAGAGGAGGUCCAAGACGAAAGUCUCCAUGACCUUCCCAGUGCCCUUAACCUUCAUACUGAAUAAUGAGAGAGGGUUGGAGAACGAAAGAGUGUUCUUUCUUCUAUGGAAAUCUUUCAUCUUCAUUAUAAAUUUGCCCUGUGCUCAACCACAGAAUCUGCUUACAUAGUUAGUGAAACACCUUCAGAGGUUUAUGAUUAAAGGUGAUGAUCACAGCAGAUUUAUCUAGAAUAUGAGUGAUAAUGCAGACUCGUUUGUUCAUAUGAGCAUUAAAAAAAAAAAAAUUGGCCUCAGAGACAAGAAAUUGAGACUGUGAGGGAAAAUUCAUGCUAUGAAACCAGAAACAGACUGAAAUUGGUGCUAAGUUUAUGAAACAGGAAGUUUUCAAAAGUUAAGUGUAUGUUGAUUUAAUAUACUGAGCUUCAAGUAUCUGAGUACUGAGGAAGCUACAAAAGCUUCAGUUUUUGUCCUGAAGUUUUCAGAUAUCAUUGAUCCAUGAUAGAAUGUGGAACUGCCCUGUGACCAGCUCAUUCACUUCAUUCAUUUAGUGUCAAGGAAAGUGACAAGAAUUCCUCGCAGCUCAGUUAUCAGUGGACAAAUAGAUGAUCUUGGAAACCGGCAAUCUGCAUCUCCUCCUGAAGAUAUCAGCUAGAUAAUGAAGAAAUACAUUCCAGGGUUCAGAGGAACAUUAAUGAUUAGCCUGAUGAAGGACAGUGUGAAGCCCAAGACAUUUGAAAGCUUCUAAACUGGUGAUGACUUCCUGGAACUGGACAACAACAUUCUACUGUCAAUGCAGUAGUGGCCCCAGAAAGAAUGGGAGAACUUGCCCCCAAGAUUAAUUCUUUCUGUGGAGGGGAGUAUGUGUGUGUGGGUCCCUGAGUGGGGGUGGGAUGGAUGGGAGAGAACAAUAGAGGAAAAAAGAAGCAUAGUUUCCACACAGAGUAGAGCCUUUGGAGCUGUUGAAUAGUCCAAUCCAUUUUCAUGUGGAGAUUUUACUAAAGGCAUUUUAUUAUGAUUACCAGUAAAGAUUUAGUCAUAUUAUUU
ensembl:lncRNA